GCCCGCAGCAGCCGCGGCGUCCCGGCCUGGCCCGAGUUCUGGAGAUGCUGACUUAGUGCUGGCCCGCCGCCUUCCUGCCCACGAGCCCCAAGGCCCCACUCCUCGAGGGCUCCAGUGGCACCUGGCGCCCUCGGGGGACAGGAAGAGCAGCCGGCCGGGAGCCCGGGCAGUGGCUGAGAAGAAAGCCAAGGUCAUUGCAGGAAUGAAUGCUGUGGAAGAAAACCAGGGGCCCGGGGAGUCUCAGAAGGUGGAGGAGGCCAGCCCUCCUGCUGUGCAGCAGCCCACUGACCCCGCAUCCCCCACUGUGGCUACCACGCCUGAGCCCGUGGGGUCCGAUGCCGGGGACAAGAAUGCCACCAAAGCAGGCGAUGACGAGCCAGAGUACGAGGACGGCCGGGGCUUUGGCAUUGGGGAGCUGGUGUGGGGGAAACUGCGGGGCUUCUCCUGGUGGCCAGGCCGCAUUGUGUCUUGGUGGAUGACGGGCCGGAGCCGAGCAGCUGAAGGCACCCGCUGGGUCAUGUGGUUCGGAGACGGCAAAUUCUCAGUGGUGUGUGUUGAGAAGCUGAUGCCGCUGAGCUCGUUUUGCAGUGCGUUCCACCAGGCCACGUACAACAAGCAGCCCAUGUACCGCAAAGCCAUCUACGAGGUCCUGCAGG
rnacentral:sRNA from 1 species